rnacentral:lncRNA from 1 species
AAAAAAAAAGAGUGAUAAGAGAAUUAAUUAAUGGAAGUAUUUGAUGACUUGGAACAUAUUUUGAAUUUAGGCCAAACUAAAUUAUGGGUGCAAGUUUUAUAGAAAACUCAGGUCCAAUGUAGGCCCAUAAGUAGACCAAAAAUGGGAAGAGAGAAAUUCUUUGUACACCGCUUACGGUGUCGAAAAUCUAACAUGGAGCGCACUGCUUCACUUUAUUAGACCAUGUAGCCAUCGCUUUCUAACGUGUAUUUAAUACCU